GCAGCCCGCGCGGGGACGUGGUGUCGCCCCUGAAGGGCCCCGCGGGUGCCCGCGGCGAGGGGGGAGAGGAGAGGGCCCUCCCCGGCCCUGCUGGCGGCUGGGCCUAGCGGUGGCCGGUCCCCGGAACUGCCGCGUUCAGCGGGCGUGACGGGCCCCGGCCCAGCCUAGGCCGAGCCGGGAGAUCCGCUCGGGGGUCUGUGGACUUCAAAGCUGGAAGGUGAUGCGGGAUGAAAGAGAAGUUUCUCAGCUAUAAAUUCUUCUUAUGACUCCGUGAAAACUGAAAUGGACAGUGUGAAAAAGAAAAAAAUCUCCUGUAAAGAUCACGGAAAGCGCUGCACCCCACAGAAAACAGUGAGGAGUGCUGCGGGCCCAAAGCGAGCUUCAGACUUCGAAAUACUUUGAGGUAUCUAAUUCUUGUCCCGAGAUCAGCCGUAUAUUGGGAAAAGUUGCUCCUGGUGAGAGCAGUCAAGUUUCUAUGUGCUGAAGGAUCAGACACGGGAACGCAGACCUGGAAGGGACCGUUCAGCUCAUCGAGUCCAGCCCCAACAGCUGCUGACAAGCACUCAGCAGAAGGUGAGUCUGGGUUCACACAACAUGUCCCUGCGCAUUACAGGGCACACAACACCUUCCUGAAACAUCUGGUAAAGGACAAAGAGCCACAGCUUUAAAGUCACAGGAGAGAUCAGGGGCAUCGCUGGCAUCGAUCACCUAGUGGGGCUUGCUAGGCGAUACUUCUCAUUGCAGCUACCCUUUUCAUGUAUCUGAUGAUUAUUAUUAUGUUUCAGUGGUAUCUUCCAGACAGAUGAAUGGUUCCAGGUCUCCGUUUGUCUAAGUCAUGUUUUCUAAACCUGUGAUCAUCUUUGCUCCCUGGGGUGACUUUGGAAGCGUGGUGCCCCAAACUGCACGCAGUAUUGCUGCUGAGGCUUUAGCAGCAUCACACAGAGCAAGGAUUGCUUCACGUGUCCUGUGUAGGAUAAUCCCAGUGUAGUGCUCUCUUUUUUUUUUUCCAGCAGUAUCUCACUGUUGAUUCAGGUUCAGCACCUGAUCCACUGACACCAACUGAAAGUUUUCAACAGUAGUGCUACCUAGCCACUCACUCCUCACCCUGUACAAAUUCAGCCGAUCAUUUGUACUUGUAUUAAGAAUUCUGCAUUUGCUUUCAUUUGCAUCCUGUUUUCUUCAGGCCAUCUCUCCAAUUUUUUAAGAUCAUUUCUAAUUCUGAUUCUGCAUUCCAGCUUGCUUGAAGCCUGUGUCAUGUUGGUAUCAUAUGUAUCAUAUACAAACUUUUAAUCUUGCUAUUUCAUUGUCUACUAAAAACAUUGAUUGAUAGUAGGAUCAGAAGAGACUUUUGCAGAGCUCCUUUUGAUACAUUAUUUCCUGGAUUGGUAACUAUUAAUAAACUGCUCCCUAAAGUGUAAAUGCUCGUUUAAGUAGUCUCACCUGUUCAGCUGCUUGUUCCUGCCUUCCUCCUCCCAUUUGCUGUUGCUAGAGCAAAGGGUUGGAGGGCCAUAUGAUGAACCAAGAUGAGGGAGCUGAUCUGCGUUGGGAAUGUGAAAGCAUCGUUGAACACAAUACAAAGUGAAGGCCUAUUACCUGGGCACGCAGGAAAUCAGAUUGUCUUGGCAAGUUCACACUUGACAAAUACAGGUUAGCUGUCCUUGUUUCCAUGCUGUUGUCUAGAUGCUAAUAAACAACUUGAUUAUUUUCAGUA